CCCCCCCCCUUAGUUACAAGAAGAAACUGAAGAGAUCGUCCUAUUUUCACAGUGUAUAUAUGACUGAAAAUGGGGGUCAUCCACCAAUUUUAAGCGCCGCAGAACAGCAGAGAAUUUACGAAUGGCAAGAGAUGAAUGCUCCGCUUGCAGAUGCAGCUUCCUUCAGAAGUUACCCGACUCUCAGAUGACGGACUCUAUUCUCGUGCAGAGUGAUAAUCGCCAGUGACUAGUGCGUCAGAGUGACGUCAGAUGCGAGAUGCAUUUGAUGCCGAUGUUAAGCAGUUAUUACUGGUGAAACUAAUCGCCUGUACUAAAAAAGACUAUUUAUAAUAAACUUCAUUUUAAUUUAUACAUAAUUAUAUAUUGUACAGAUGAGUGAUGUACAGUUCAUUUUCUUUUUAUUUAUAAAUAUUUUGUUUACAUGUCU